UGCCAGACUCCUACGGGAGGCAGCAGUGGGGGAUAUUGCACAAUGGGGGGAACCCUGAUGCAGCGACGCCGCGUGAGCGAUGAAGUAUUUCGGUAUGUAAAGCUCUAUCAGUAGGGAAGAAAAUGACGGUACCUGACUAAGAAGCCCCGGCUAACUACGUGCCAGCAGCCGCGGUAAUACGUAGGGGGCAAGCGUUAUCCGGAUUUAUUGGGUGUAAAGGGUGCGUAGACGGGAUUACAAGUUGGUUGUGAAACCCCUCAGCUCAACUGAGGAACUGCAACCAAAACUAUAAUUCUUGAGUGCAGGAGAGGAAAGUGGAAUUCCUAGUGUAGCGGUGAAAUGCGUAGAUAUUAGGAAGAACACCGGUGGCGAAGGCGACUUUCUGGACUGUAACUGACGUUGAGGCACGAAAGUGUGGGGAGCAAACAGGAUUAGAUACCCUGGUA
rnacentral:rRNA from 1 species